GCCCCGCCUUCUAAAUACACAUACGCACUUACUGACAGACACAUAUACACUCAGUGUCAGUGAGUGCGUAUGUGUAUUUAGAAGGCAGGGC